GGGGAUUUAGCUCAGUGGUAGAGCGCUUGCCUAGCAAACGCAAGGCCCUGGGUUCGGUUCCCAGCCCCG
rnacentral:tRNA from 1 species